CAGCAGCAGCCGCGGGAAUACGGAGGGUGCAAGCGUUAAUCGGAAUUACUGGGCGUAAAGCGCGCGUAGGUGGUUUGUUAAGUUGGAUGUGAAAUCCCCGGGCUCAACCUGGGAACUGCAUCCAAAACUGGCAAGCUAGAGUAUGGUAGAGGGUGGUGGAAUUUCCUGUGUAGCGGUGAAAUGCGUAGAUAUAGGAAGGAACACCAGUGGCGAAGGCGACCACCUGGACUGAUACUGACACUGAGGUGCGAAAGCGUGGGGAGCAAACAGGAUUAGAUAUCCCAGUAGUCCCUGUCUCUUAUAC
rnacentral:rRNA from 1 species